GAUAAGAUAUUUUUGCAUGUUUAAAUCCAAACCCUGUAUCUGCCUGUUUCUCCACUUUUGGACUUAAUCCUGGUUUUGAUGCGACGGCUCACAGAUUUUCUUUGACUUGUUGUAUUUCAUGAAUGAAUGUCACAGGCACUGGUGAGAUCUCAGGUUUGACUAAAACAGCUCUGGCAGCAGAGGUGACGGGUGAUARUCAUGGGCUUUUCAUUUAAUCUGGGAUGAUCCAAUCCCCAAAACACAGGAAGUUUCAGAUGAAGCGUUUCAACAUUUAAAGAAUAUUUUUGCAUCUUUAGAGGAAUAAACUAAUAAACCACCCUUCACGUCUUUAAAUUAAAAAAAAAACGCAGCAGGAACUAAAACCAGCUCAUCUGAAACAUCCUGCUUUCUUCACGUUGACCCAAAACUUUGGACGGCGCCACGGCCCACCUCCAACAGCUCGGUAAAGUAGCACCACAGAAGAAGAGAGGACAGGAAGUCCUCCUCUCAUCAGCUAAAGGCAUCAGUCCCAACAGGUCUGCCUGAACCUCCAUGUGGGCCAUGUUGUCAUGUCAGAACCAGAACUAAAAUUUUUUUUAUAAAAAUUAAUAUAAGUCAGCUUAUCCACCGGUGAAUUAAACAGUCUGUGCUUUUAUUGUGAAAGGGAAAGCAACUGGAUGAGUUUGCUGCAGGAAUGACAUUAUUCAUAAAUAUUUCAGAAUAAAUAAACUAAAAGGYUUUAAAUCUGUAUAAAUAUUAGGUUCAGAUGAGAUUUUUAUAUUUUUUCAGGGCUUUUAUUUUGGCACCCAGCUCCCACUGAGGGCAGAUUUUACCUGCGUCUCUGUUAGCAAAAUAUCUCAAACCACUGGGUGAGUUGUAGAAAAUAAUUUUCUCCAACUGAUUAAAACUUGGAGUGAACCCAAUUCAAGAUGGCCGACAGGAAGUGACCUGGGGUCAGUUUUCCAGGUGUGGAGCUAAAGUUUGGUGUGGUGGUAGCUGAGCUGAAUCACGUUGUGCUUUUCUGGGUGAAACGGUUUCUUUUAAACUUCAUCUGAUCCUGAAACUGAGACAUGGUUAGCUGCCGUGGACAGGUGAAACCAAACGAAUCCUUUAAACUGAAAAAAACAGGGAGGGCGUUUGAAACAGUUCGUUAGUGUGACGUAAAAUUAAUGCCUUCAAACUGUCGGGUAAAUAUUAAAUGUACAAAACUAUCAUCCAUCUACAGGUUUCUGGUUUUAAACACCAGAAACUUAUCAGAACAUUUGAGCUACUUGAAGAAAUAAAAUAAAAUAAAAUAAAAUAAACAGUUCAGGAAGAUUUUUUUAUUUGUUUCUGAGUUUAAAGAAUAAAGUUGAAAUGUUGAGAAGUUUAAAUUGUAUUUGAGUUUAAAUAAAAAAAAACACCAUCUUUGAAAGAAUGUGAAUGGAUGUGAUGAGUUUACAGAAAGCUCUGUGUUAUUUUAAAAGAGUGCAUGUUUGAGGCUCUUAUUGUGAAGGGCUGAAGCAGGUUCUGCUGCUGUUGCAGUAAUAAUCUGUAAAAACGAUGCUGUAACCAGAUCCCUCGGCUCCAGGAGGACGAGGUCCUGAGGGAACUCUGAAGCUGCUUGUUGUCGUUCAGCUGUCAGAACUCACUUUGUGUUUUAGAUUCACCACAUUUUAACUGUUUCUGCACUUUAAGUUUCAGACAUUCUAAACGAUUGCUGAUAUUUUGCUAACAGACCAGAGGUGGUUGACUCUGUGAGAACUACAGAUUGUGAAAUUUGAUACUGGAGGAUGUUAGCACUCAGAGUCGGUGCUGAGGACAAACCAAAUGUCCAUCUUUGUGUCGGCCAUCUUGAAUCAAACUGUGUGGCAGAGACACUUCUAAUGAUUACUCUGAGUUUAAGCCUUUGGUUUAGGACAGACUUAAUGAGCACAAAUAUUCAGCAUUUAUCAAAUARUUGGCUGUUUUUGACCAAUAAUGUCAAAAACAGAGAAAACUACCAGAAACAGCAGCUUUAUGGAUGAGAAGGUUGGGAACAUGAGGAAAAUAAAAAUAAUGGUCCUGAAUUACUUUUGCAAGAUCCUUCAAAGGUUUCUCAUGAUUCUUCAAAGGUUUCUCAUGAUUCUUCAAAGGUUUCUCAUGAUCCUUCAAAGGUUUCUCAUGAUCCUUCAAAGGUUUCUCAGGAAAUUCCUUCAAAGGUUUCUCAGGAGAAUCCUUCAAAUGUUUCUCAUGAUCCUUCAAAGGUUUCUCAGGAGAAUCCUUCAAAGGUUUCUCAUGAUCCUUCAAAGGUUUCUCAGGAAAUUCCUUCAAAGGUUUCUCAGGAGAAUCCUUCAAAUGUUUCUCAUGAUCCUUCAAAGGUUUCUCAGGAGAAUCCUUCAAAGGUUUCUCAUGAUCCUUCAAAGGUUUCUCAGGAUCCUUCAAAGGUUUCUCAUGAUCCUUCAAAGGUUUCUCAUGAUCCUGCAACGGUUUCUCAUGAUUCUUCAAAGGUUUCUCAUGAUCCUUCAAAGGUUUCUCAGGAAAUUCCUUCAAAGGUUUCUCAUGAUCCUUCAAAGGUUUCUCAGGAUCCUUCAAAGGUUUCUCAUGAUCCUUCAAAGGUUUCUCAUGAUCCUGCAACGGUUUCUCAUGAUUCCUCAAACGUUUCUCAGGAUCCUGUAAAGGUUUCUCAUGAUCCUUCAAAGGUUUCUCAGGAUCCUGUAAAGGUUUCUCAAUGUUUGUAGGAUUUUGCAAAAGUAAGUCAGGAUUGUUUUUUGUUUUUUCUCCCCGUCACCUCAGACUCUGUAGUUUCUGUAUGAAUAU